UAAAGCGUUUCUUUUCUUUAAUUCCUUCAGCAGUUUUGGAGAAAUUUUUGAAAAAAACAACUUUUACGUACAAAAUUAGCAGCCCGCCAACCUCAUGCACCCAGCAUGCACCGCGACAGGGUGAACGGUUUACUUCCGGGUUAACGCCUUCUUCUUCGUCUGAGUAAUUUUCUGCAGACUUUCUGAGGCGAUCUGCUCUAUGGGGACCCCAAGGGGUCACGACGGGAAUUUUGACUGAGAUUACUAUGCAUACCAACAGCCAGGAUCCAUGGUACAACCAGAUUGACCACUCUGUUCUAUAAUGUUGUCUGUUUUUGUUUGUUGAUGUAAAUCUUUCAACACUGUCACUCAUAAAUACUGUGAACCUGUUACCUCUUUGUGUACAAAAAUGUAAUAAACAAAACUGUUAAAAACAGAAUUGAAAUGAG